ACGGGAGGCAGCAGUGGGGGAUAUUGCACAAUGGGGGAAACCCUGAUGCAGCGACGCCGCGUGGGUGAAGAAGUUUUUCGGAAUGUAAAGCCCUAUCAGCAGGGAUGAUAAUGACAGUACCUGACUAAGAAGCCCCGGCUAACUACGUGCCAGCAGCCGCGGUAAUACGUAGGGGGCAAGCGUUAUCCGGAAUUACUGGGUGUAAAGGGAGUGUAGGCGGGACUGUAAGUCAGAUGUGAAAUAUACCGGCUCAACUGGUAGACUGCAUUUGAAACUGCGGUUCUUGAGUGAAGUAGAGGUAAGCGGAAUUCCUAGUGUAGCGGUGAAAUGCGUAGAUAUUAGGAGGAACAUCAGUGGCGAAGGCGGCUUACUGGGCUUUAACUGACGCUGAGGCUCGAAAGCGUGGGGAGCAAACAGGAUUAGAUACCCUGGUA
rnacentral:rRNA from 1 species